GGAAGGUGAGUUACAGGAAGAAGGCUGUGUGGUGAGCAAGGAGCCACGGCAAAGGAGGAAGUGGCUCCAGGUAGUGACCCGGCAGAGGACAGCAAUGGCCUCUCGCCAGCCCGGGCCUCACCCUGCCCAGGGCCAAGAUGUCCGUAGAUGAAGGCUGCUCCCCACAGGCAGUUCUGGGGGCUCUGUCCCCUCGCCCUCGCCUUCCACACACCCUUUCUUCAGUCUAACUUUAUUGAGCCUUUCGAUGACCAAGUUGAAGAUCUCUAUUGGAACAGUUUCCCUGGAAAGAAAUGUGAGCAAACCUGUUGGGGAGGUCAUACGGAGAGAAAGAGACCCUGGAGGAUAAGAAGGCACAUAGGAAAGAACCAAGGCGCCCCAGUGGACAGCCAGCACCCAGACAUGUGAAUGAGGCCGUCUUGAUUCUUAAGAUGCCAUGGCUGACAGCAGAUAAAGCAAAGAUGAGUGUCCCAGCCAAGCCAUGCCCAAAUUCCUGCCUGCCUAAAAUCCUGAACAAUCAAAUGAUCAUUCUUCUAUGCCAUUGGGUUUGGGGUGGUUUGCAAUAUGCAUAUAUUUAUAUAUAAUAUAUAUGUAUUUAUAUACAUAUAUAAAUACCUAAAAAUAGCUCAGUGGUAAAAAAUCCACCUGCCAAGCAGGAGACACCUGCCAAGUAAAAGAUGAGGGUUUUGAUCCCCGUGUCAGGAAGAUCCCCUGGAGAAGGAAAUGGCACCCCACUCCAGUAUUCUUGCCUGGGAAAAUCCCAUGGACAGAGGAGCCUGGCGGGCUACAGUCCAUUGGGUCACAAAGAAUUGGAUAUGACUGAGCAACUAAGCAUAAUAACUAAAUCCAUAAAACAAACCCACGACUGCAUCCAUCAUGUGUUGAUUUUCUAGUUUCAUUCUCACAGGCCAAUCUUAUGUCUCCUUUAUAUCUCAUCUAUACAAUUAAUAAGGGAGCUCAUAUUUUCUGGUAAUAAAUCAAAGAGUGAAAUAAUCCA
ensembl:lncRNA